AUUGAACGCUGGCGGCAUGCCUUACACAUGCAAGUCGAACGGUAACGCGGGGCAACCUGGCGACGAGUGGCGAACGGGUGAGUAAUGCAUCGGAACGUGCCCAGUAGUGGGGGAGUAGCCCGGCGAAAGCCGGAUUAAUACCGCAUACGACCUACGGGUGAAAGACGGGGGACCGGUAAGGCCUCGCGCUAUUGGAGCGGCCGAUGUCAGAUUAGGUAGUUGGUGGGGUAAAGGCCUACCAAGCCUACGAUCUGUAGCUGGUCUGAGAGGACGACCAGCCACACUGGGACUGAGACACGGCCCAGACUCCUACGGGAGGCAGCAGUAGGGAAUAUUGGACAAUGGGGGGAACCCGUGAUCCAGCCAUGCCGCGUGAGGGAAGAAGGUCCUCUGGA
rnacentral:rRNA from 1 species